UGUCGUUUCACGGAUGCGAGCUAUAUUGACUGUUCCUCGCACGCGCUCUCUCUGGCGACCGACCGGCGGGCGCUCCGCCGCAAGAUCGCCGGAUAAGUCUCCGUAUCCGCCGCAUCACCACCACGUUGCAUAGUUGAUGCACUUGCAGGUGAUUAGUAAAGCAUAGAGGCCCUUUUUUAUCAAGGAACCCCACAAAGGCACAGCACUAAAUCCACAGAAGAGUGGGUUGCAAGUUUUGUCACUUUCGUUUCACCACUUGGCAAAUGGAAAAUUCGCUGAAAAACUCUCAGUGGUCUCUUGUUCAUCCCAUUCCUAGUUGUUACUUUCUGCUGGACUUCACUUCAACUUCACUCGAUGCAGUGCCAUG